rnacentral:rRNA from 1 species
CGCGGGAAUUCGAUUAGAGUUUGAUCAUGGCUCAGAUUGAACGCUGGCGGCAGGCCUAACACAUGCAAGUCGAGCGGUAGAGAGAAGCUUGCUUCUCUUGAGAGCGGCGGACGGGUGAGUAAUGCCUAGGAAUCUGCCUGGUAGUGGGGGAUAACGUUCGGAAACGGACGCUAAUACCGCAUACGUCCUACGGGAGAAAGCAGGGGACCUUCGGGCCUUGCGCUAUCAGAUGAGCCUAGGUCGGAUUAGCUAGUUGGUGGGGUAAUGGCUCACCAAGGCGACGAUCCGUAACUGGUCUGAGAGGAUGAUCAGUCACACUGGAACUGAGACACGGUCCAGACUCCUACGGGAGGCAGCAGUGGGGAAUAUUGGACAAUGGGCGAAAGCCUGAUCCAGCCAUGCCGCGUGUGUGAAGAAGGUCUUCGGAUUGUAAAGCACUUUAAGUUGGGAGGAAGGGCAGCAGAUUAAUACUUUGCUGUUUUGACGUUACCGACAGAAUAAGCACCGGCUAACUCUGUGUCAGCAGCCGCGGUAAUACGAAUCACUAGUGAAUUCGCGGCCGCCUGCAGGUCG